rnacentral:lncRNA from 1 species
AGUGAGGCAUGGGGCAUUAAAGGUGCUUGUCGGAUCCUGAGGAAAUCGCCAAAUUCUGAUGGAUCUAUUGGAAUUUUAUCUAGGGCCUAUCUCCCCCUAAAUCCAUCUUUCACAACUGUCAGAACGAGAACAGAAAGUUGCCCUUGUUAUUGGUCCAGGACGGUGAGGUGUCCGUCUGUCUUUGCUUAGUACGUUUACAUUUUAUGUAUCUAGGCCAAAGAAUGAUAGUAAUAUGUUUUAACUACGUCUUUAUUAGGCCUACCUAGAAUAAGGAAGAUCUUCCCACUCUUGAUUUUCAAAAUCUCAUAUUGGCAUAAUACUACUAUUUUGGUUGUUGUUUUUGAGAUAGCUUACCAAGCUUGACGCCUGGUGGCAUAAUACUACUCUGACAUACAAUAACACAUUAGUUUGUAAUAUUGGUUGCUUCAUAUUGAUAUACAUCUGCAUAUCUCCAUUCAAGUGCUUGUCUAUGCUGCUAAUCUGUUUUUUUUGGUUAACAGAAAUCUCCUUGAACGAAUGGUGCCAAGACAGAUAACAGAGCACUUUUUGCCGAAGUUUAUGGCCGUGGAUAAGUGCUGGAUUACUGUUAGUUACCUUUAUGCAUGAUUGUGGAUUGGACCACUAGUAUUUCAUACGAUGUGCUAGGAGCUCUCGUAAUUCGACAUUUGUUUCAAGUUGGAGUCUGGUUUGGCCUGUGUUGGCACAUUUUGGCAAAGUUGGACUUUGGUUUGGCCUAUGUAGACUGAGUUUUUGCUGCUUGGUAUGUGGUGCAGUGUAUGAUCCUUCGUGAUCAGGUUGUAAUAUUCUGGGAGUCGAUCCUUGCUAGUAGUUUGUUUAUGAUCUGGACCAUGUGGUUUCUAUAAUGGAAUUCUAAAGGCUUCUCUUUCAUUAAAGUAAAAAGAAAUGUGGUUUCUA